rnacentral:rRNA from 1 species
UUUUAUGGAGAGUUUGAUCCUGGCUCAGGAUGAACGCUGGCGGCGUGCCUAAUACAUGCAAGUCGAGCGAACGGACGAGAAGCUUGCUUCUCUGAUGUUAGCGGCGGACGGGUGAGUAACACGUGGAUAACCUACCUAUAAGACUGGGAUAACUUCGGGAAACCGGAGCUAAUACCGGAUAAUAUUUUGAACCGCAUGGUUCAAAAGUGAAAGACGGUCUUGCUGUCACUUAUAGAUGGAUCCGCGCUGCAUUAGCUAGUUGGUAAGGUAACGGCUUACCAAGGCAACGAUGCAUAGCCGACCUGAGAGGGUGAUCGGCCACACUGGAACUGAGACACGGUCCAGACUCCUACGGGAGGCAGCAGUAGGGAAUCUUCCGCAAUGGGCGAAAGCCUGACGGAGCAACGCCGCGUGAGUGAUGAAGGUCUUCGGAUCGUAAAACUCUGUUAUUAGGGAAGAACAUAUGUGUAAGUAACUGUGCACAUCUUGACGGUACCUAAUCAGAAAGCCACGGCUAACUACGUGCCAGCAGCCGCGGUAAUACGUAGGUGGCAAGCGUUAUCCGGAAUUAUUGGGCGUAAAGCGCGCGUAGGCGGUUUUUUAAGUCUGAUGUGAAAGCCCACGGCUCAACCGUGGAGGGUCAUUGGAAACUGGAAAACUUGAGUGCAGAAGAGGAAAGUGGAAUUCCAUGUGUAGCGGUGAAAUGCGCAGAGAUAUGGAGGAACACCAGUGGCGAAGGCGACUUUCUGGUCUGUAACUGACGCUGAUGUGCGAAAGCGUGGGGAUCAAACAGGAUUAGAUACCCUGGUAGUCCACGCCGUAAACGAUGAGUGCUAAGUGUUAGGGGGUUUCCGCCCCUUAGUGCUGCAGCUAACGCAUUAAGCACUCCGCCUGGGGAGUACGACCGCAAGGUUGAAACUCAAAGGAAUUGACGGGGACCCGCACAAGCGGUGGAGCAUGUGGUUUAAUUCGAAGCAACGCGAAGAACCUUACCAAAUCUUGACAUCCUUUGACAACUCUAGAGAUAGAGCCUUCCCCUUCGGGGGACAAAGUGACAGGUGGUGCAUGGUUGUCGUCAGCUCGUGUCGUGAGAUGUUGGGUUAAGUCCCGCAACGAGCGCAACCCUUAAACU